rnacentral:rRNA from 1 species
UACGGAGGGGGCUAGUGUUGUUCGGAAUUACUGGGCGUAAAGGGCGCGCAGGCGGCUUGGCAAGUCGAGUGUGAAAUCCCUUGGCCUAACUAAGGAAUGGCGCUCGAAACUACCUCGCUAGAGGACGGGAGAGGGAAGUGGAACUCUCGGUGUAGGGGUGAAAUCUGUAGAUAUCGAGAGGAACACCGGUGGCGAAGGCGGCUUCCUGGCCCGUAGCUGACGCUGAGGCGCGAAAGCGUGGGGAGCAAACAGG